UACGGGGGGGGCAAGCGUUGUUCGGAAUUACUGGGCGUAAAGGGCUCGUAGGCGGCCAACUAAGUCAUACGUGAAAUCCCUCGGCUUAACCGGGGAACUGCGUCUGAUACUGGAUGGCUUGAGUUCGGGAGAGGGAUGCGGAAUUCCAGGUGUAGCGGUGAAAUGCGUAGAUAUCUGGAGGAACACCGGUGGCGAAGGCGGUAUCCUGGACCGAUACUGACGCUGAGGAGCGAAAGCCAGGGGAGCAAACGGG
rnacentral:rRNA from 1 species